CCAACAUGAUGUCCGCUUAGUUUAGCCAGCAUUAUAAAAUCUCACGUCCACCUGGAUAUUUUCUUAUCGAUCGCUGUUCGAAAUGGACCUCAGUGGUAAUUUUCAAGUUCAAAUCCUCACUUUUGGAGGGCUUCUAUUUGUUUUAUCUAUUUUGACCGCGAGUACCGGAGGAAAUGUGCUCAUACUACCAGUACCCACCCCCCCUCAGAAUGGCGGACCUGUGACUCAAGGUGACUUGAGACAAAUUACUCCAGACAGCGAUGAAGCUAAAAUCAAUGAAG